UAACUACCUUAUAAAGGUCAUUUAAAUACAGGAUCAGUUCAUUUGCAUAUUGAUCAGAUGCUUCAGUGCUCUGAGAGUGUUUAUAGUGCUGUGAGUUUAACACUUCAUCACUGACACACACAACAAUCUUCAUCAACAUGACCUUCAUCAUCAUCUUCAUCUGGACUCUCACAGCAUUUGCUCAAGAGUGUAGAGGACAGAUCAGCGUCACUCAGAGUCCCUCAACGACAGCAGCUCAACCAGGAGAAACAGUGAAGAUCAACUGUAAAACCAGCAGAGAUGUGUACAAGGAUAGUUGGGGGGAUGAAUCUUUAGCUUGGUACUUACAGAAACCUGGAGAAGCUCCUAAACUCCUGAUUUACGAAGCAAAAAAACUCUACACUGGUACUUCAUCUAGAUUUAGUGGCAGUGGAUCUAACAGUGAUUUCACUCUGACCAUCAGUGGAGUCCAGACUGAAGAUGCUGGACAUUAUUACUGUCAGAGUUACCACAGCAGUGGUGGUGUGUUCACACAGUGA